rnacentral:rRNA from 1 species
GUGUCAGCCGCCGCGGUAAGACGUAGGGGGCGAGCGUUGUCCGGAUUUAUUGGGCGUAAAGCGCGCGUAGGCGGCCUGUUAAGUCGGGUGUGAAAACCCGGGGCUCAACCCCGGGCCUGCAUUCGAUACUGGCAGGCUAGAGGCAGGCAGGGGAGAUCGGAAUUCCUGGUGUAGCGGUGAAAUGCGCAGAUAUCAGGAGGAACACCGGUGGCGAAGGCGGAUCUCUGGGCCUGUCCUGACGCUCAGGCGCGAAAGCUAGGGGAGCAAACAGGAUUAGAUACCCGUGUAGUCC